GCCCCUCUCUCUCCGCGAGUCCCGGUGGACAAAAACCCCUGUCCUUUCUCAGCCGCCGACUUGGAACGACUGCACGCAAGGACCGCGGGCCACCGCCACGGUCUCGCCGAAAGGCGCCGGGCAGCUGGGAGCCGGCGACCGAGCGAUGCUGGGCCCUCGGCCUCUGGGGCGUGGGGGAAAGGGAGGACCGAGAGCCCAGCGCCGGCCUUGAAGGGGGUCCCCUCUCGUGGUACCUUGGCGGAGGCAGGACGCAGGACGCAGGACCCUCCGGCCGGAAUGCCGUCGCCGCGUCUCCUCCACCCAAAGGGCCGGCACCGGACACAACUUGCGGAGCACCAGCCGCUGCACGGCCGGCUGCCGCUUCUCCGGGAGCCCCGAACGGCGCCGUCCAUCACAUGCACUGACCCCAUACCACGCGCAAAACAAACACGCCGAGCGUGAAUUGAUAACUUUAUUGAAAAGACAACAAGUGCCCAAAAAUGAGGGUCCGUGAAUUUGCACUUCUCCUGCAUACAUUUAGCGGGCAUUUAGUGAACUGCUCUUGGCGGCGAGCUACACAGAAUGGGGCUGGGCUCGAAAGCACCGUGGGAAAAAACCGUCACGGAGGCCAUUCUGUGGGAAAAGGGCUUACCAGCGAACCACGGACGGACAUGAUGGAUGGUAACUAGACUUGCUGUGGUAAACACCUCACAAUAGAUACAGAUUUCAAAGGUGGCACCUACCCCCCUCCCGUCUCCACCGUAAUGCACGGGUCUACUGUUUAACAAGGUUAUCAGGCCGACUAUGAAGGAGUUCCAGAAAAUGAAGAUGUAGGCCUGGCACUCUCCACACCUGUUUACCAAGUACUUAAAAGCCACAGCUCUAAAAGUAA